AUAGUUAAAUGGCCGCAGUAUUUUGACUGUGCUAAGGUAGCAUAAUCAUUAGUUUUUUAAUUGAAAGCUGGAAUGAAGGGUUGGAUGAAAAGAAGACUAUUUUUAUUUAAUUAUAUUAUAAUUUUAUUUUUAAGUUAAAAAGCUUAAAUUAUAUUAAAAGACGAGAAGACCCUAUAGAGUUUAAUAUAAAUAAAUUUUAAUAAUAUUAGAAUUAAAUUUUUUAUUUUUUAUUUUUAUUUAAUUGGGGUGAUUAAAAAAUUUAUUUAACUUUUUUUUUAUUUAAAUAUAAAUAAAUAAUUUUUUGAUCCAAUAUUUUUGAUUAUAAGAUAAAAUUACCUUAGGGAUAACAGCGUAAUUUUAUUAGAGAGUUCAAAUCGAUAAUAAAGAUUGCGACCUCGAUGUUGGAUUAAAAUUUAUAAUUGGUGUAGAAGCUAAUUUAUUA
rnacentral:rRNA from 1 species